GUAAAUAUUGUAAAUGUUUCAUGUACAAAUUUUGAGUCAAACAUAAAACUAGUUUAUUUUAUAUGAUGUCUAAUAGAAAUGCGUUUAUAAAUGUUCCUUUUAAAAUAAUUUUGUAAUGAAAAGUGUCUUACUGAGAGAGGCGGGUAGAUUUAUUUUUUCGUGUUGGACAAUCAUGUUCAGCCUGUUGCAACGUGAAAACAGCUUUA